rnacentral:rRNA from 1 species
CCUUCGGGAGGCAGCAGUAGGGAAUAUUGCUCAAUGGGGGAAACCCUGAAGCAGCAACGCCGCGUGGAGGAUGAAGGUUUUAGGAUUUUAAACUCCUUUUGUGAUAGAAGUUAAUGACGGUAUCUCACGAAUAAGCACUGGCAAACUCGGUUCCAGCACCCGCGGUAAUACGGGGGGUGCAAGCGUUACACGGAAUCACUGGGCGUUAAGAGUGCGAAGGCGGGCUUGUAAGUCAGAUGUGAAAUUCUUUAGCUUAACUACAAAACUGAAUUUGAAACUAUUAGUCUAGAGUGUGGGAGAGUUAGGUGGAAUUCUUGGUGUAGGGGUAAAAUCCGUAGAUAUCAAGAGGAAUACUCAUUGCGAAGGCGACCUACUGGAACAUUACUGACGCUCAUGCACGAAAGCGUGGGGAGCAAACAGGAUUAGAUACCCUGUAGUC